GAUGAACGCUGGCGGCGUGCCUAAUACAUGCAAGUCGAGCGAACAGAUGAGGAGCUUGCUCCUCUGACGUUAGCGGCGGACGGGUGAGUAACACGUGGAUAACCUACCUAUAAGACUGGGAUAACUUCGGGAAACCGGAGCUAAUACCGGAUAAUAUAUUGAACCGCAUGGUUCAAUAGUGAAAGACGGUUUUGCUGUCACUUAUAGAUGGAUCCGCGCCGCAUUAGCUAGUUGGUAAGGUAACGGCUUACCAAGGCAACGAUGCGUAGCCGACCUGAGAGGGUGAUCGGCCACACGGGAACUGAGACACGGUCCAGACUCCUACGGGAGGCAGCAGUAGGGAAUCUUCCGCAAUGGGCGAAAGCCUGACGGAGCAACGCCGCGUGAGUGAUGAAGGUCUUCGGAUCGUAAAGCUCUGUUAUUAGGGAAGAACAAAUGUGUAAGUAACUAUGCACGUCUUGACGGUACCUAAUCAGAAAGCAACGGCUAACUACGUG
rnacentral:rRNA from 1 species